rnacentral:rRNA from 1 species
AGUGUAGGCGGUCAAGCAAGUCAGGGGGUGAAAGGCAUCGGCUCAACCGAUGUAAGCCUUUGAAACUGUUUGACUUGAGUGCAGGAGAGGUAAGUGGAAUUCCUAGUGUAGCGGUGAAAUGCGUAGAUAUUAGGAGGAACACCAGUGGCGAAGGCGACUUACUGGACUGUAACUGACGCUGAGGCUCGAAAGCGUGGGGAGCGAACA